rnacentral:lncRNA from 1 species
CCCCGCACCGGCGGUCGAAACCCGCUAACGCACGCAAAAGUGAAGGGGUCGGCCGCGAAAAGAUGAUUAACCGGCUGAAAAGAUAAAAAGAGGGGUGCAACACGAGGACUUCCCAAGAGGUCACCCACCUUAGUACUGCUCUCGCCCAAGCACUCUUAACUGCGGAGUUCUGAUGGGAUCCGGUGCAUUAGUGCUGGUAUGGUCGCACCCAUCAGCAUGUGCACUGCAAAUCUACUUAAGCCGUGCCCCCCUCGCCUGCCCCGACUCGGCCGCCGCACAAUUCAUCCUUCCGCGGCCCUUUCCCCGCACCCCGGCGGGUCCGAGGUGCCCUGGAGACACCGCGCCGGCGGUCGAAACCCGCUAACGCACGCAGAAGUGAAGGGGUCAGCCGCGAAAAGAUGAUUAACCGGCUGAAAAGAUAAAAAGAGGGGUGCAACACUAGGACUUCCCAAGAGGUCACCCACCUUAGUACUGCUCUCGCCCACGCACUCUUACCUGCGGAGUUCUGAUGGGAUCCGGUGCAUUAGUGCUGGUAUGGUCGCACCCAUCAGCAUGUGCACUGCAAAUCUACUUAAGCCGUGCCCCCCUCGCCUGCCCCGACUCGGCCGCCGCACAAUUCAUACCUCCGCGGCCCUUUCCCCGCUCCCCGGCGGCUCCGAAGUGCCCCGGAGACCCCGCGCCGGCGGUCGAAACCCGCUAACGAACGCAAAAGUGAAGGGGUCGGCCGCGAAAAGAUGAUUAACCGGCUGACGACGAGGGUCAAAAAAAUUGUAAUCUUAAAAAUGUGUCAAAAUACAAGAAAAAUUCGAAAUUAAGGGUCAAAAAACGGCCCCAAGCUCCUCCGGAGCUUGACCACCCUAUUUGUCUCCAAAAGUUGAAGGGGUCGGCCGCGAAAAGAUGAUUAACCGACUGAAAAGAUAAAAAGAGGGGUGCAACACGAGGACUUCCCAAGAGGUCACCCAUCUUAGUACUGCUCUCGCCCAAGCACGCUUAACUGGGAGUUCUGAUGGGAUCCGGUGCAUUAGUGCUGGUGUGGUUGCACCAAUCAGCAAGUGCACUGCAAAUCUAGUUAACCCGUGCCCCCCUCGCCUGCCCCGACUCGGCCGCCGCACAAUUCAUCCCUCCACGGCCCUUUCCCCGCUCCCCGGCGGGUCCGAGGUGCCUUGGAGACCCCGCGCCUGCGCUUGAAACCCGCUAACGCACGCAAAAGUGAAGGGGUCGGCCACGAAAAGAUGAUUAACCGGCUGACGAUGAGGGUCAAAAAAAUUGUAAUCUUAAAAAUGUGUCAAAAUACAAGAAAAAUUCGAAAUUAAGGGUCAAAAAACGCCCCCAAGCUCUUCCGGAGCUUGACCACCCUAUUUGUCUCCAAACAUUGAAGGGGUCGGCCGCGAAAAGAUGAUUAACCGGCUGAACAGAUAAAAAGAGGGGUGCAACACGAGGACUUCCCAAGAGGUCACCCAUUUUAGUACUGCUCUCGCCCAAGCACGCUUAACUGCGGAGUUCUGAUGGGAUCCGGUGCAUUAGUGCUGGUGUGGUCGCACCGAUCAGCAUGUGCACUGCAAAUCUAGUUAACCCGUGCCCCCCUCGCUUGCCCCGACUCGGCCGCCGCACAAUUCAUCCCUCCGCGGCCCUUUCCCCGCUCCCCGGCGGGUCCGAGGUGCCCCGGAGACCCCGCGCCGGAGGUGGAAACCCGCUAACGCACGCAAAAGUGAAGGGGUCGGCCGCGAAAAGAUGAUUAACCGGCUGACGACGAGGGUCAAAAAAAUUGUAAUCUUAAAAAUGUGUCAAAAUACAAGAAAAAUUCGAAAUUAAAGGUCAAAAAAUGCCCCCAAGCUCCUCCGGAGCUUGACCACCCUAUUUGUCUCCAAAAAUUGAAGGGGUCGGCCGCGAAAAGAUGAUUAACCGACUGAAAAGAUAAAAAGAGCGGUGCAACACGAGGACUUCCCAAGAGGUCACCCAUCUUAGUACUGCUCUCGCCCAAGCACGCUUAACUGGGAGUUCUGAUGGGAUCCGGUGCAUUAGUGCUGGUGUGGUCGCACCCAUCAGCAUGUGCACUGCAAAUCUAGUUAACCCGUGCCCCCCUCGCUUGCCCCGACUCGGCCGCCGCACAAUUCAUCCCUCCGCCGCCCUUUCCCCGCUCCUCGGCGGGUCCGAGGUGCCCCGGAGACCCCGCGCCGGAGGUGGAAACCCGCUAACGCACGCAAAAGUGAAGGGGUCGGCCGCGAAAAGAUGAUUAACCGGCUGACGACGAGGGUCAAAAAAAUUGUAAUCUUAAAAAUGUGUCAAAAUACAAGAAAAAUUCAAAAUUAAAGGUCAAAAAAUGCCCCCAGGCUCCUCUGGAGCUUGACCACCCUAUUUGUCUCCAAAAAUUGAAGGGGUCGGCCGCGAAAAGAUGAUUAACCGACUGAAAAGAUAAAAAGAGGGGUGCAACACGAGGACUUCCCAAGAGGUCACCCAUCUUAGUACUGCUCUCGCCCAAGCAUGCUUAACUGGGAGUUCUGAUGGGAUCCGGUGCAUUAGUGCUGGUGUGGUUGCACCAAUCAGCAAGUGCACUGCAAAUCUAGUUAACCCGUGCCCCCCUCGCCUGCCCCGACUCGGCCGCCACACAAUUUAUCCCUCUGCGGCCCUUUCCCCGCUCCCCGGCGGGUCCGAGGUGACCCGGAGACCCCGCGCCUGCGCUUGAAACCCGCUAACGCACGCAAAAGUGAAGUGGUCGGCCGCGAAAAGAUGAUUAACCGGCUGACGACGAGGGUCAAAAAAAUUGUAAUCUUAAAAAUGUGUCAAAAUACAAGAAAAAUUCGAAAUUAAGGGUCAAAAAACGGCCCCAAGCUCCUCCGGAGCUUGACCACCCUAUUUGUCUCCAAACAUUGAAGGGGUCGGCCGCGAAAAGAUGAUUAACCGGCUGAAAAGAUAAAAAGAGGGGUGCAACACGAGGACUUCCAAAGAGGUCACCCAUUUUAGUACUGCUCUCGCCCAAGCAUGCUUAACUGCGGAGUUCUGAUGGGAUCCGGUGCAUUAGUGCUGGUGUGGUCGCACCCAUCAGCAUGUGCACUGCAAAUCUAGUUAACCCGUGCCCCCCUCGCUUGCCCCGACUCCGCCGCCGCACAAUUCAUCCCUCCGCGGCCCUUUCCCCGCUCCCCGGCGGGUCCGAGGUGCCCCGGAGACCCCGCGCCGGAGGUGGAAACCCGCUAACGCACGCAAAAGUGAAGGGGUCGGCCGCGAAAAGAUGAUUAACCGGCUGACGACGAGGGUCAAAAAAAUUGUAAUCUUAAAAAUGUGUCAAAAUACAAGAAAAAUUCAAAAUUAAAGGUCAAAAAAUGCCCCCAAGCUCCUCCGGAGCUUGACCACCCUAUUUGUCUCCAAAAAUUGAAGGGGUCGGCCGCGAAAAGAUGAUUAACCGGCUGAAAAGAUAAAAAGAGGGGUGCAACACGAGGACUUCCCAAGAGGUCACCCAUCUUAGUACUGCUCUCGCCCAAGCACGCUUAACUGCGGAGUUCUGAUGGGAUCCGGUGCAUUAGUGCUGGUAUGGUCGCACCCAUCAGCAUGUGCACUGCAAAUCUACUUAACCCGUGCCCCCCUCGCCUGCCCCGACUCGGCCGCCGCACAAUUCAUCCCUCCGCGGCCCUUUCCCCGCUCCCCGGCGGGUCCGAGGUGCCCCGGAGACCCCGCGCCGGCGGUCCAAACCCGCUAACGCACGCAAAAGUGAAGGGGUCGGCCGCGAAAAGAUGAUUAACCGGCUGACGACGAGGGUCAAAAAAAUUGUAAUCUUAAAAAUGUGUCAAAAUACAAGAAAAAUUCGAAAUUAAGGGUCAAAAAACGCCCCCAAGCUCCUCCGGAACUUGACCACCCUAUUUGUCUCCAAAAAUUGAAGGGGUCGGCCGCGAAAAGAUGAUUAACCGGCUGAAAAGAUAAAAAGAGGGGUGCAACACGAGGACUUCCCAAGAGGUCACCCAUCUUAGUACUGCUCUCGCCCAAGCACGCUUAACUGCGGAGUUCUGAUGGGAUCCGGUGCAUUAGUGCUGGUAUGGUCGCACCCAUCAGCAUGUGCACUGCAAAUCUACUUAACCCGUGCCCCCCUCGCCUGCCCCGACUCGGCCGCCGCACAAUUCAUCCCUCCGCGGCCCUUUCCCCGCUCCCCGGCGGGUCCGAGGUGCCCCGGAGACCCCGCGCCGGCGGUCCAAACCCGCUAACGCACGCAAAAGUGAAGGGGUCGGCCGCGAAAAGAUGAUUAACCGGCUGACGACGAGGGUCAAAAAAAUUGUAAUCUUAAAAAUGUGUCAAAAUACAAGAAAAAUUCGAAAUUAAGGGUCAAAAAACGCCCCCAAGCUCCUCCGGAACUUGACCACCCUAUUUGUCUCCAAAAAUUAUGCAGUUUAAAAAAAAAAACGC